rnacentral:lncRNA from 1 species
AAAUGAUUCUCUGGCCUUGGCCUCCCAAAGCACUGGGAUUAUAGGCAUGAGCCAUUGUGCCAGCCUAAGUAAAUUGAGUUUAAUUUACUAAGUUGAGGGAAGAUAUUUCUUUUUUUUUUUCUUUUUUUGAGAUGGCGUUUUGCUCUUGUUACCCAGGCUGGAGUGCAAUGGCGCGAUCUCGGCUCCUUGGCUCCUCAGCUAGCACUAAUCCAUUCACAUUAUUGAGGGCAGCUGAAAAAGAUCCCCUCUGGGCUGUUUUCAAAUCACAGCCUCCAUCCAGCACAGCCUUGAUGCUCUUCUAUAGCUCAGUCCCGCCCCCAGGGUGGGAGGCAGCUGGUGACCCGGCUUAAUGACCAGGCCACACCCAUGGACUGGCUAGGUAACCAGUAACCCAGAGUAGGAAAUGACCACCCUCCUAAACUUAUGUCCACAGCAUAAUACAUCCAGACAUGAAUCUUGUAGUUCGAGAGAUCGUGCAUAGUUGCAGAGGUCCCCUCUACCUCCCCAGGGGAUCAUAGCCGAAUCCUCAGCCUGACUGGACAACCAAGUUGUCCAAGCGCCAAGCUUAUGCCACCAGUUUGGAGGGCAAGGAAGAGGGCACUGCUUAGCCAAAUGCUAGGCCUUCUCCUCAGCUGAAAUCAUUGCAAAGGCUGGACCUUUGGGAAACAGGUGGUUUCGACCGUUUCUUCUUGCUGGAGUCAGGGCUACAGAGCUUCCCUACCAAACUUGAGAAUUCUUUUUCUUGGAUUUCCCAAAUUGAAAUUGUUAGUAUCCAGAUCUUGCACCUGACAUUUACUUGUCUCAGAGAAGCCCAUAUCAGAGGUUCAGAUAUCAAAUGAGCAGUCCCAUUGCAGGCCACUGAUUAUGGCCUGAUGAACUGUAAUGUACAAACUGUCCAGGAAGUCCUUGACAUCAGGCAGACAGAAAAGCUGAGGAACCAAAAAUUUUAUAUGCUGGGCACACACUGCUCACCUGUGCACUGGGGGUACUACAGAAUCUUGCGCACAUCCUGAUAUGUUUAGAGAUCAACAGGCACUGCACGGCCUGCAGGCUGUGCAGCUCCUCCUGCCCAGGGCUUCAGAGCUGGCUCCAGGUGAUACACUUUAAAAAAGGAUUCCUAAAUUAUCCACUUUGGGUUUUUAAAUGCUAGGAUCUUCAAGGGGAAUUAGAACUUUUGUCUGAUUUUUUUUUUCCUACUUUUUUCUACUUAGCUUACACCACCAAGCCACAGGACCAGUCUACGUUAUUGUCCUGGCCACUCUCAGAAUCUCAUUUUGCAGCUACUGGAAUUCCGGAGGUGAGCGCUGCAGCUGCUGAUCAGGCCCAUUCCCAGGUUCUCCCGGAAGGGAGCAAAGCGGGAGACGGCACGCUCCUUUGUCUUCCACUGGCUGAAUGCCAAAAUCCUUCACGCUACCAGUCUCUGCGAACUCCAGGUAGAAGUAGCCACACUUGACUGCCCGGUGCACCUCAAAGCAGAAUCCCAAACAAGAAUCCUCUAUCAGGUCUACGUAAAUCUCCUGAGCGAUGGCCUCUAGCUUGUUAGUAUCCAGGUUGGCCAACGAAAUUUCCUCCAUUUUAAAUUUGUAAACGACUGCGGAGAGGGCGCUCCUUUUACUCACGGCAGCAACACGUCUGGCUCCGCGGGCCGCGCCUAGGCCUACAGGCCUUUCAGGGCCAAGUCCUCCAGCGGCGGGUCGGUGGCGUGCGUGGCGGCAGAAGCAGCGGCAGCGGCGACUGCUCCGGAAUCCCAAGCCCUCCGGCUUGUUUUGGCGUCUCCCGGGUUGCGGGGCUUUUAGCUGCGCCUGGCCCAGGACUCACAGCUAAACCGUCUCAGCGCCUCACCCAGCCGCCUGGGCCUCUUCCGCUCCCUUGUCGGGCCUAGCCCCGCCUCCCCGCUUCCGCCCCUCAGUGCGCCUGCGCACUGGUUCCGCGCUGACUCCUGGGGCUUCUCCCUAAUGCACUAGGGCUUCUUAACGCGCUGCUGCUUUGAGAGCGAUUGACUUUAUGAAAACGAACGGGAUGAACUAAGCUGACUUAGUGUAUGACUUCCAUUAUCUCUGAUUAUUAGAAGAUUGCAAGGAUGCUAUUUUAUGUUACUUUAUUUGUAAAUUUAAACAUUCGCAGUUGAAUUCAGCACCCAUGCUUAAUUCAUAUCCUCUGAAAAAGGAAAACAUUUAGUAAUUUUAUGCACUGUUGUGGUGUGAUUCGAAACAUUAUUUUGGGAACAGUUCUUCGGAUGUGUUGAAAAUUUGACUUACAUGACUGACUAAUGAUCGUUUAUAGCAAUGCCGCAGUUGUCAUUUAAAUCCACUAGAUGGUGCAAGGAAACAAAUUACAGUAUAGUUUAUCUUUCGGUCUUUUUUUGAGUGAAAAAACUGGAAACAGCACUAAAGGCAUAAUUCAUAUAUAUUAAUCAAAUAAAUUUAAGGUAUCUGUCUCUCUUAUAAGACCAUUAAGGCAAUGCGAAUAUAAAGAGAUAAUAUACACCUCUAAAAUAAUUAUGAAGAGAAAAUUAUGUGUCUAUGCUGUCUUAAAGGAGGAAAUUUGAAAUAUGUUAAAUAUACUGGGAUAUAAAGAAAACUUUUCCCAAAAUUAUAUGCAUAAUUUGUGAGAACGGGAACCAGCCUACCUAAGUUUAAAUCCCGAAGCCAACAUUUAACAGUUCAGUGUUUCCUCAUUGAAAAAAGGCUAGUUCUUGUUUCAUGGUUAAGAUUAAAUUAUAUUUUAAGAAAUGUUGUGACAGUGCCUUACAUGUAAGCAAUGAUUCAGUAAAUGUCAACUAUUUUUGAUCAUAGUGUUAUGAACUUGAAUAUGAGAAAAAUCAUUGUAGUAUUUCCUUUAUUUUUUGCUCAUUUUUUGGUCCCCAGCACUGCUGUGAAAUAGAGCAGCCUGUAUUAUCUUUAUAAUUUAUUUUAAAAUUAUUGUUAAGCAAACAAACAAAAAUACAAAAUAUGUAUAUAUAUC